rnacentral:lncRNA from 1 species
ACCUGGAUGAUGAAAUAAUCUGUACAACAAACCCUUACAACAUAAGUUUACAUAUCUAACAAACCUGUACAUGUACCCCUGAACCUAAAACAAAAGUUAAAAAGAAGAAAAUCAAACAAUUAAGUUCUUUUUCUAGUCCCUGGCAUAGUCCCUGAAAUUGUUUUACAGAAAUGGAGGAAUCACCAACACCUAUUUGAUUACAGACACGUGCUAUAGUCUGAAUGUUUGUCUCCCCUCAAAAUUCAUGUAUUGAAAUCCUAAUUGCCAACCUGAUAGUAUUAGGAGUUGUGGCCUUUAGGGAGGUGAUUAGGUCAUGAAAGCAGAACCAUCAAUAAUGAGAUUAGUGCCCUCAUAAAACAAGCCCAAGGAAGAACAUUCAUCCCUUUUACCAUGUGAGGACACAGCAAGAAGUUGGCAGUCUGCAGUCCAGAAGAGGGUUUUCACCAGAAUCCAAACAUACUGGCACCCUGAUCUUGGACUUCUUAGCUUCCAGUACUCAACAUGGAUGGAACUGGAGACCAUUAUCCUGAGAUAACUCAGAAACAGAAAGUCAAAUACUGCAUGUUCUCACUUAUAAAUGGAAGCUAAGUAAUGGGUGCACAUGGAUAUACAGAGUGAAAUAAUACACAUUGGAGACUACAAAAAGGCAUGAAGAAAUAAUGACACUGAAAACAUCGAGUGACUUAUUCAUACAGGAUGAGGAUGAGCAGGAGAUGAACCCUUAUCAAAUUCUGGCUCUACACCAAGCACUGUGAGAGACCCACUGAUUUAUCCAGGCUUCUGGUCAUUCAUUCCACAAAAACAUAUUAAGUUUCCACUCUGGGCCAUGCAUUUGGCCCCUAGACCCAUCUGAAAAGAGGAGCUUUAAUCCUGGAUUACAUCUCAUUUUUGUAAUCUCAAUAGGAAAGCAGGUCUCAGAGCAGACCUCACGGUGAGGAGGAGGCAGGGGUACCCCCUCCCCAGAAGCACAGGCCCUGAAGCGUCGUUGGGUCCUUUCUCCCUUUGACAUCUGAUUUCCUCAUAGAUGACUGUCAUAGCCAUAAUUCAAUUGUCCCAGGACCAGCACAUGUGGGUCCAGUUUUGUCAGCCUGCAAGGACAUUGUGCAGCUUUGUUUGUUCCAGUGUGGGGAAGGGAGGUGUUGAUAAGCAUCAUCAUAAUCAGGAUCUGCUGUCCAUGACUUACCAUUCAUUUCCUAAUCAGUCAUCACAUUUUGUUCAAGCUUAAUGCUGACCUAUUGAAUUUAACGCCACAUUCUGCAGCAAAAAGCCACUGCUGUGUUUACUGGGGGAAAUCAGCUAGCUCUUACCCUUGUUGCUGUAGCACGCACAGGAAACUUAGAUUUUCAGGAUAUUCCCCCACCCCCGUGUUAUCUAGGAGUUCUCAUUUUGUUCAAAGAAUGUCCCCUCUGUCUUCCCGCUUUCCCUCCGUGGUGCCAAGACAACCUGAAUUACAUUAAAGCCCAGGCGGCUCGAUAUUUAGGCUGCUUUCCUCCUCUCUCCCUUACCCCAUUCCCAUCAACACACAUGCACACAUACACCUGUGUGCACACACCCAUGCACACACACAAAUGGGAUGUGAGCCAACAGAACACUGUGUGACCUUGAACCAGUCACAUCUUUCUAAGCUUCCAUUUCAUCAGCUGUAAAAUGAGGAGGGCAGACUCAGUUAUCCCUUUCUUUUCUAAUAUUGUAUGAUUCUAAUCUUCCCAUCAUUCUCAAAUGAUGGAAUUAGAAUUAUAAAAUGUCUGAAAUGGAAGACAUGCUGAAAACUAAUCCACUAAUGAAAUAAUAUCCCCAUAUUUCAAUUCUUCCUUAUUUUUUGAGACAGCGUCUCACUCUGUCUCCCAGGCUGGAGUGCAGUGACACAAU